AGUUGAUGCGCAUGGCAGUUUUCCUCCCAGUUCCGCUGCAUCAACUGUUCCUCUCUGGAGGUUCAUACCUUCAAACUCAUGGGUCGCGGUUUUCCGACGGCCCUUUUCU
rnacentral:sRNA from 17 species